rnacentral:lncRNA from 1 species
CCGGGUUCAAGCGAUUCUCCUGCCUCAGCCUCCUGAGUAGCUGGGAUUACAGGUGCCCACCACCAAGCCUGGCUAAUUUUUGUAUUUUUUAGCAGAGACGGGGUUUCACCAUGUUGGCCAGGCUGAUCUCAAACUCCUGACCUCAAGUGAUCCACCCGCCUCGGCCUCCCAAAGUGCUGGGAUUACAGGCGUGCACCAACGCGCCCGGCCAUUUUUAAUUUUUUAAUUGUAGAGGCAGGGGUCUUGCUAUGUUGCCCAGGCUCAUCUAGAACUCAAGUGGUUCUCCCUACUCGGCCUUCCAAAAUGCUGGGAUUACAGGUGUGAGGCACCACACACGGCCAAGUCUUCGCUAUUGUCUUAACCAGUUUAAAGAGAUGAAAUAGAUCAACUGAAAAGUAAUAAUCCUGCCUUUUCUGGGGGGCAGGGGGGAAGACAGCGGGCAUCUUCCAAGACCAGAAAUGUUCAGAAUUUUGUUGUUUCUAUUACUGUACAAAUGAGAAAACUGAGGCACACAGGCCAGGUGCAGUGGCUCAUGCCUGUAAUGCAAGCACUUUGGGAAGAUGGGGCAGGUGGAUCACUUGAGGUCAAGAGUUCGAGACCAGCCUGCCCAAUAUGGUGAAACUCUGUCUCUACUAA